rnacentral:rRNA from 1 species
ACGCUGGCGGCGUGCUUAACACAUGCAAGUCGAACGGACAAGGCCCUGCUUUUGUGGGGUGCUCGAGUGGCGAACGGGUGAGUAACACGUGAGUAACCUGCCCUUGACUUUGGGAUAACUUCAGGAAACUGGGGCUAAUACCGGAUAGGAGCUCCUGCUGCAUGGUGGGGGUUGGAAAGUUUCGGCGGUUGGGGAUGGACUCGCGGCUUAUCAGCUUGUUGGUGGGGUAGUGGCUUACCAAGGCUUUGACGGCGUAGCCGGCCUGAGAGGGUGACCGUGCCACAUUGGGACUGAGAUACGGCCCAGACUCCUACGCGCGAGGCAGCAGUGGGGAAUAUUGCACAAUGGGCGGAAGCCUGAUGCAGCAACGACCGACGUGCGGGAUGACGGCUCUUCGGGUUGUAAACCGCUUUCGCCUGUGACGACAGCGUGAGUGACGGUAAUGGGUAAAGAAGCACCGGCUAGACUACG